UGCGGGGUCGUCUAAUGGUAAGACGCGGCCCUCUGGAGGCCGUUAUCGGGGUUCGAAUCCCUGCCCCGCAG
rnacentral:tRNA from 1 species